GGAGGAAUACCCAAGUCUGGCUGAAGGGAUCGGUCUUGAAAACCGACAGNNGGGCUUAACGGCUCGCGGGGGUUCGAAUCCCUCUUCCUCCGCCA
rnacentral:tRNA from 1 species